GUUUGGGAUCGAGGACUUAUUUAUCGCACUAUGGGGAAUGGUAGAACGUACACGAGAGGACUGUGCAUCACUUUCAAUGUCCUGCUUCUGGUAUCUGGGGUAUUUCUGUUUGUAGUUGGGGUUUCAUACAGCUUCCAACACCCUCCUGAGUUUGACCAUCGGAGUACCCUCCAUGAGAUGUACGUACUAAAUGUGUUUGGACC